UACGGAGGAUGCAAGCGUUAUCCGGAAUUAUUGGGCGUAAAGCGUCCGCAGGUGGUUUAUCAAGUCUGCUGUCAAAGCGCGAGGCUUAACUUCGUAAAGGCAGUGGAAACUGAUAGACUGGAGUGCGAUAGGGGCAGAGGGAAUUCCCAGUGUAGCGGUGAAAUGCGUAGAGAUCAGGAAGAACACCGGUGGCGAAAGCGCUCUGCUAGGCCGCAACUGACACUCAUGGACGAAAGCUAGGGGAGCGAAUGGG
rnacentral:rRNA from 1 species